rnacentral:rRNA from 1 species
GUGAGGAAUAUUGCGCAAUGGGGGAAACCCUGACGCAGCGACGCCGCGUGGAGGAUGAAGGCCCUCGGGUCGUAAACUCCUUUCGCCAGGGACGAAUGGCUCUUCGGAGUUUGACGGUACCUGGAUAAGAAGCCCCGGCUAACUACGUGCCAGCAGCCGCGGUAAUACGUAGGGGGCAAGCGUUGCUCGGAAUUACUGGGCGUAAAGGGUCUGUAGGCGGUUGGGCAAGUUGGUUGUGAAAUCUCCCGGCUUAACUGGGAGGCUGCGAUCAAAACUGCUCGACUUGAGGGCCGGAGAGGCAGGUAGAAUUCCUGGUGUAGCGGUGAAAUGCGUAGAGAUCAGGAGGAAUACCGGUGGCGAAGGCGGCCUGCUGGACGGCAUCUGACGCUGAGAGACGAAAGCUGGGGGAGCAAACAGG